UCAAAUGUAACAAACCACUCCCUCCAACCGUAGCACAGCAAAAAAAGCAAUCGAUUUUUUCAAAAACAUGUCUACAUCCAACAGAACGGCUACCUUGAGCUUAGGUCGAUGAGAUACUUAAUCACAGUUUCCACGGCCUUUUCCUUCACUAAUUUUCAUUUUUCGAAGCUCAUUUUGCAGGUCUUUGUCAUCCUUGGCAGUACCUAAGCAUCAUGGCAGUUCUCUACAUGGUCUGCUUGAUAGACUGGGAUGAAGUUCAUACUCGCAAGGGUGAGCAACAGUAGAGAUUAUGGCUGCGAGGAAAGGUCCAAUUCGGCCAAGCCAUUUAGGAAUUGAGUCAAAUUUUUCUAAGGAAUGUAUUCAAUGAUAGUUGAACAAGUGGUCUCUGUUAGAAAACUUUAGAAUACUGCUUUUGUCUUGUAAGGUCUCAAGUUCGAGUCGCGAGAAUGAUGAGGGCAAGAAAAUAGCUCUGUAUUAGUACACGAUCGAGGGAAAUGGAAAGCUCGUCAAAGGCACACACGGUGGAUUUGAGAAUUCUAACUGGACAACAUAAGAAAGAGAGUGGAAAUAUAAAUAAGGAGAUUCUCAACAUAAAGUGCCAGGUUUGAUGAGUUUUUCCAUCAAAAAUCUUUUUUAUAA